rnacentral:rRNA from 1 species
CGCUAGGAUCCCUUCGGGGUGACUUUGAUGCUGUCGAGCGGCGGACGGGUGAGUAACGCGUAGGAAUCUACCCAGUAGCGGGGGAUAGCCCGAGGAAACUCGGAUUAAUACCGCAUACGCCCCACGGGGGAAAGGCCGGGACCUCUUCGGAGACCGGUCACUAUUGGAGGAGCCUGCGUUGGAUUAGCUAGUUGGUAGGGUAAAGGCCUACCAAGGCGACGAUCCAUAGCUGGUCUGAGAGGACGAUCAGCCACACUGGAACUGAGACACGGUCCAGACUCCUACGGGAGGCAGCAGUUGGGAAUAUUGUGCAAUGGGGGAAACCCUGACACAGCCAUGCCGCGUGUGUGAAGAAGGCUCUAGGGUUGUAAAGCACUUUCAGUAGGGAGGAAAAAGCCGUAUUAAUACCACGGUUAUAUGACGUUACCUACAGAAGAAGAUCCGGCUAACUCCGUGCCAGCAGCCGCGGUAAUACGGAGGGAUCGAACGUUAAUCGGAAUUACUGGGCGUAAAGCGCGCGUAGGUGGUUCAUUAAGUGGGAUGUGAAAGCCCCGGGCUUAACCUGGGAAUUGCAUUCCAAACUGAUGAACUAGAGUACGAUAGAGGGGGGUAGAAUUCAGAGUGUAGCGGUGAAAUGCGUAGAUAUUCUGAGGAAUACCGGUGGCGAAGGCGGCCCCCUGGAUUGAUACUGACACUGAGGUGCGAAAGCGUGGGGAGCAAACAGGAUUAGAUACCCCGGUAGUCCUAGCCGUAAACGAUGGGCACUAAGUAGGGGGAGCUACCGAUGCUUUCUCUGCCGUAGCUAACGCAUUAAGUGCCCCGCCUGGGGAGUACGGCCGCAAGGCUAAAACUCAAAAGAAUUGACGGGGGCUCGCACAAGCGGUGGAGCAUGUGGCUUAAUUCGAUGCAACGCGAAGAACCUUACCGGGGCUUGACAUGGUAGAAGUAGGAACCCGAAAGGGUAACGAACGGUAUCCAGUCCGUAGCUAUUACAGGUGUUGCAUGGCUGUCGUCAGCUCGUGUCGUGAGACGUUGGGUUAAGUCCCCUAACGAGCGAAACCCUUGUUUUUAGUUACCAGCGGGUUAUGCCGGGUACUCUAGAAAGACUGCCGUCGUCAAGACGGAGGAAGGUGGGGAUGACGUCAAGUCAUCAUGGCCCUUAUGCCCCGGGCUGCACACGUGCUACAAUGGUCGGUACAAACGGAAGCGAAGCCGAGAGGUGAAGCGAAUCCUAAAAAGCCGAUCUCAGUUCGGAUUGGAGGCUGA